rnacentral:rRNA from 1 species
UCUUUUCCUUUUGUUUCAGCAGCCGCGGUAAUACGGAAGGUCCGGGCGUUAUCCGGAUUUAUUGGGUUUAAAGGGAGCGUAGGCCGGAGAUUAAGCGUGUUGUGAAAUGUAGACGCUCAACGUCUGCACUGCAGCGCGAACUGGUUUCCUUGAGUACGCACAAAGUGGGCGGAAUUCGUGGUGUAGCGGUGAAAUGCUUAGAUAUCACGAAGAACUCCGAUUGCGAAGGCAGCUCACUGGAGCGCAACUGACGCUGAAGCUCGAAAGUGCGGGUAUCGAACAGG